rnacentral:lncRNA from 1 species
GGGAGCCGCGCACCGGCGCUGCGCGGCCGCAGCCCCCCGGGCGCAGGGCUGCUUCCUUAGCGGGCCUUGCGCCUCUCCGGGCGAGGCCUGCGAGCCCUCGCUGCGGCGCAGGCGAGCGCGGCCGCUUGCGUCAUGUGCGGCAGCUUUGCUAGUCCCUCCCUGUAGCUGGUAUUUCUCUCUUACUGACUUUUCCUGGCCUUUCUGCUGCUCCUCCUGCCUCUGUUUCCCCCUCUCGUCUGGGGCUCGUUCAAACCCCUGUCACCGAACCGCUCUGCCUGAGCUGCCCUCGCACAAAAAAAGCGCUAGCUUUUGCUGAUGAUAUUGCUCCUGUCAUCGCCCUCCCAACCCUUGUCAUGCAUUUCAGCUGAUGCCUCCCUGUCAGAAACAGCCCUGCGUGACCGGUACAGCCGCCUCGUUCAGCUCCAACAGUGCACUCAGUCCGAUAGGGAUACUUUGGUCCCCUCGUUUGAAGCGCAGCCACAGUCGUGACUGGUACAGCUGAAUGGUGAAAGUUUCAGGGGCAGCGGUCUGCUGAAAACAGCUGUCCAGGGCACUGUAGCAGUCUCUCUUCCAUCACCACUCCCAAGACCGAGGAGGUUUUUGUCCCUGCUGGUGUCACCAUUUCAUUGGACUGAAGCUGAACUGAGGAGACAGAAGCUUUGGAGUGGGAGGGAGAAGCACAGGGUGUCAGGAAGUAGGGAGAUGGGAGAGCUUCCUAAGAUGCUAGUGGAAAGGUUAAAAGGUUGUCAUUUGCAAAAACAAUAAUCAUAAGCUGAUUACCAAUUCACAGGCUUGUUCUUAUUACAUUUGCAAACUUGUGUAGUUAAAAUACCUUAUAUAAACACUAACAAUUACAAAUAUAUAAUAAUGAGACACUGUACCGGUGUACUGGUAGAGUCUGUCAGCCUGUGAAACAUUAUUCAAGGUGAUCAGAUUUAUUUUUCUAUAGACAUAAACUGAAACCAGAGCUUUGGUUUUGCUUUCAAUAAGAGCAUGGCUAUUCCAGGAGAAGCAUAGUAAUAUGGGGGAAUAAAAAAAAAUUCUGUUCCUAUAAACUGUUAGAU